UCCAUCCCAAAAAACUCUCUCCAGACACGGCCGUUUUCUUUUCAGAUAGCAGAGAAUUCUUCUAGAAAGAUUACUCUACAUCUUUCAUUGAGUCUGGAGAGCACAGGAAAUCCUUCCUUCUCAUGUACCUUCAACACAGGAACCAUGAACCUGUGUGACGGGUCUGAUCCACCUGCAGUUUUCCCAAACUGCUCCUGUAGUUUUUCUGACCAGAUUCUAUACACUGGAGGUUUAAGAGUCUCUGCUACAGUUACUAUUGAGGAUCAGAAGAUCACAGAUACACUGACGCUGA